rnacentral:rRNA from 1 species
AAUUUACACAACAAAAUUACUCGCCAGAGAACUACUAGCAACAGCUUAAAACUCAAAGGACUUGGCGGUGCUUCACAUCCCUCUAGAGGAGCCUGUUCUAUAAUCGAUAAACCCCGAUAAACCUCACCAUCCCUUGCUAAUUCAGUCUAUAUACCGCCAUCUUCAGCAAACCCUUAAAAGGAAAGAAAGUAAGCAUAAUCAUCACACGUAAAAAAGUUAGGUCAAGGUGUAACCCAUGGGAUGGAAAGAAAUGGGCUACAUUUUCUAAGUAAGAACAGCCAUACAAAAGUUUUUAUGAAAUUAAUAACUGAAGGUGGAUUUAGUAGUAAAUUAAGAAUAGAGAGCUUAAUUGAACUGGGCCAUGAAGCACGCACACACCGCCCGUCACCCUCCUCAAACAACACCUCAAACAUACAUAAAUAUGUACAAAAUAUAUCUAGAGGAGAUAAGUCGCUAACAAGGUAAGCGUACUGGAAAGUGUGCUUGGAUUGAC